rnacentral:rRNA from 1 species
UACGUAGGGUGCAAGCGUUAUCCGGAAUUAUUGGGCGUAAAGAGCUCGUAGGCGGUUUGUCGCGUCUGCUGUGAAAACCGGAGGCUCAACCUCCGGCCUGCAGUGGGUACGGGCAAACUAGAGUGCGGUAGGGGAGAUUGGAAUUCCUGGUGUAGCGGUGGAAUGCGCAGAUAUCAGGAGGAACACCGGUGGCGAAGGCGGGUCUCUGGGCCGUAACUGACGCUGAGGAGCGAAAGCGUGGGGAGCGAACAGG